rnacentral:lncRNA from 1 species
AGUGGGUACCGCAAGCCGAUGAAGGCGAGGAGUACUCACCGGAUCAGGAAGAGAUAUAUAACAAUAUGGUAAACAAAUACUGAUGCUGAUAUAAAGAAACUACAGUAGCUAUAACAGAUAAAGAAGAAGUAAUAAACAAUACUGCUACUGUAAGGAAUGCAAAGCCAAGUAUGCCUCAAGGUAACCAAACCAAAACUGUACCCAAUCUGAUGCCUGCUAUAUUGGUCCGCAGACCUCAAGCGCUGCCUGUCACUGAACUGCACCGACCUGAUUCACCCGCCCCACAGGACGACCCAUCCGGAUAAGCACACCUCCGGUCGGUGGCCAAACCGACCCGGUGUCGUGAAUACCCCCAAGUGCUGUGACUAAGUCAUGCUGGUAUGCUCAAUACAAAACCGACUGAAGCCGGUGCCUAGGCCGAAGCCAGAAACAAGGGCGUACAACGCCAAACCACGAUCAACCAGAUCGAAACACAUGACAAGAGAGUCGAUGUGUUGCCUGGACCCAAGGUCCACAGAGUCCAACUGACCAACAAGGUCCCUGAUACGAAGUACGAGAACCGACCAACCAGGUCAACAGAUACGGAAUGCAACAACCAACCAACUAGAUCAACAGAUACGGAAUGCAACAACCGACCAACUAGGUCAACAGAUACGGAAUGCAACAACCGACCAACUAGGUCAACAGAUACUGAAUGCAACAACAGACCAACUAGGUCAACAGAUACGCAUGUAGAUAGAACUACUCUACUCCUACUCAGGAUACUAAGCAUGCAAACAACGAGUAGAGUAUAACGAAUAAACAAGGGUGCAAGGCUCAAUAUACUAUGCGAUAGUAACAACAGAAGAGUAAGGGUAAGAAACCAUCACCAAGCGUGCACCACUGUACCGACGUAGGAUCGAAGUACCCACCUGUAAGGAUGUCGCGUCUGUCUCCUGACUGCAAAUGAAUGUCGACAGGACCUAUAGAGGGUCCACCGGGUUAGUAUCUAACCCACUACUAAGAACCACAGUAUCCAC